UGUUGCAUAGGCUGUCCUUGAACUGGACUCAAGUGAUCCUCCUGCCUCAGCCUCCUGAGUAACUGGGACCAUAGGAGCACAUCACUCCUGGUUCACUGCAUAUAUUGUUGUUAUAAGUUCUCUCAAAUCCAUGUGGAAUGAGGCAGGUGUACAGGAAGAAAGAAUCGUAGCUGAACAAAGUUGCUUUUUAAUGACAAUACAACUCAUUUAAGUCGAGUGAGUGCUAAAGUUUGAGAAGCACCAUUCCAGAAGAAACCCCAUCGAUAGAUGGUCAACAGAGGCCUAACAUCAAGGAGACUUUGAACAUGAAUUCAGACGAUUAGCCGAAACCUCGGAGGAUUGCCAAAUUACUCUGACCUUCGGUUUCUUCAUCUGGAACCCCUGCUUAUGCUUUAUUUUGAGACAAAGUCUUGUUAAGUUGCCCAG